rnacentral:lncRNA from 1 species
GAUAAAAUGGGAAUACAAAGAAUAAUCAUCUAGAGCAGCUAUGGUGAUUCAUUGAGAUAGCCCUUAUAAAGUGCUUUGCCCUUUAAGUGGCAGAAUAGAGGUAUAGUGAAGAAUGGGAACUCCGGAGCAAGACAGUCUGGCUCAGAUCCUAAGGAUGCCGCUUGCUAAUUGUAUGGAACUGUGCAACUGCAGUAUCCCAGAGGUCAAGUCUUCUUCAAGCUCAGCCCAGUGAGAUCUAAAAUUGGGAACUUACCAGAAACUAGCAGAAAAGUAUGGCAAAAAGGUACUUUAUCCUGUGCUCUGAACUGUAUUUAACCCAAGAAGACUUAAUUCCAGUGCCUGUUUGGACACCCUUUCUUCCUGCAUUCACUGGAAACUCUCCCAUACAUUAGAAAGAGAAAUAUGAUCCAAUGAUCCAACUCCAGAAAAACUCACUGGAUCGAGGUGAACACAGCCUCUUUAAAGCUCUUGCCAAUGAGCUGCUGGUCACUUUUUGCUGCUUGUCAUUCAAGCACUUUGACACGGACCUGAAGCUAUUAUCACAAGUGCCUAUUCCAUACUUCAUUCAACUUUUGGGAGUCUACCAAUGGUGUACAGGACCGAAUGUAAUCAAUAUCCCAAGAAGCAAAAGAGAUGCGCCUAGCAGAAGCAUCUUGAAGGUGUACUGUAUCUAUCACCAUGAAGUCUGCAUUCCCAUUUUUUUUUUUUUUUUUUUUUUGGCUUGGGAAGAUAACUGCAAAAGUUUUUUUUUUUUUUUUAAGAUCAUGUUUCUAACUAGCAGGUAUCAUGAAAACCUCAAAUUAUUGAAUAACAAUAGAAUUGUUAAACACUUUUAAAAAAGUCCUGUUAAGUAAUAUUUCCCCUAAUCACAAUUAAAGACAAUAAAUAAAUGGAAAUUACUUCUUUGAA